rnacentral:rRNA from 1 species
AUUGAACGCUGGCGGAAUGCUUUACACAUGCAAGUCGAGCGGCAGCGCGGCCUUCGGGCUGGCGGCGAGCGGCGAACGGGUGAGUAAUGCAUCGGAACAUGCCCAGUCGUGGGGGAUAACACUUCGAAAGAAGUGCUAAUACCGCAUACGUCCUGAGGGGGAAAGCGGGGGAUCGCAAGACCUCGCGCGAUUGGGGUGGCCGAUGUCAGAUUAGCUAGUUGGUGGGGUAAAGGCCUACCAAGGCGACGAUCUGUAGCUGGUCUGAGAGGAUGAUCAGCCACACUGGGACUGAGACACGGCCCAGACUCCUACGGGAGGCAGCAGUGGGGAAUUUUGGACAAUGGGGGCAACCCUGAUCCAGCCAUUCCGCGUGAGUGAAGAAGGCCUUCGGGUUGUAAAGCUCUUUCGGCAGGAACGAAACGGUGGGCUCUAACAUAGUCCGCUAAUGACGGUACCUGAAGAAGAAGCACCGGCUAACUACGUG